UGGAUACUGGGAUGUUGCGAUGUGCCUUGCAAUAAAUAAAUGUUGGGUCCUUGUGCCUUUAGCCCUAAUUUGGGAAAAAAGAAGUAUAUAUUAACCUUGUAUGACCCUGGCUAGGUCACAAGGUAUAUUGUUGAUGAGUCCUGUCAGGCCCAAGGAUGGACAGAUGUCUUGUCACAUUUUCUUCUCAGUAUGGGUAGGCUAAACUAUAUUCCAUAAGGAAACCAAUUACAUAAAUUAGCUGUUGACUAGCCUACUGCUUACCCUCCUUUCCUUGGUAAUCUAUAAAAAGGCUAAUAAAUUCAUCACUUUUAUAAAUGAUGUUCUCAAACUUCAGAACUGAGAUGGUGAACUCCUGUUUUUAUUCAGCGUGAUGACAAAUGUAUGUGAAUAAUACAGAAAUGGUGUGAGAAGCUGAAUGGAUUGUGACAUGCCAAGGGUGUGCCAUGCUGUGCAAGUCCAUGAUCUCUUCAUAAUAGCUGUCUUCAUAUACCAGAUUUGAAUGUGACAGUACUGUGAAACAGUUGAAAGGCAGUAGGUAGGAAAGUCACAGUGCUGACUGAAAGUUGGUCUGUACUCUGCAAUGUGUUUAUUUUGGUGUGCUGCAUACUUUCCUACUGAUCGUCAGACUCCAGAUAAAGAUGUUCCCACAAGUAUUGGAUUCAAGCUUUCAUGCAAAAAGGCCUUUCUUCCAUAAAUGUUUUAUUUAUCGUUAGUAUAGGGCCCUACAAAGUGUUGUGGCACUUGAAAUUUGCAAAUUCCAACUGUUCAGCAUCUGAAACCUGGGAUUAAAAACAACUUGAACAUGA